rnacentral:rRNA from 1 species
AGUGAACGCUGGCGGUAGGCCUAACACAUGCAAGUCGAACGGCAGCACAGGAGAGCUUGCUCUCUGGGUGGCGAGUGGCGGACGGGUGAGGAAUACAUCGGAAUCUGCCCAGUCGUGGGGGAUAACGUAGGGAAACUUACGCUAAUACCGCAUACGACCUUCGGGUGAAAGAGGGGGAGCGCGAGACCUCUCGCGAUUGGAUGAGCCGAUGUCGGAUUAGCUAGUUGGCGGGGUAAUGGCCCACCAAGGCGACGAUCCGUAGCUGGUCUGAGAGGAUGAUCAGCCACACUGGAACUGAGACACGGUCCAGACUCCUACGGGAGGCAGCAGUGGGGAAUAUUGGACAAUGGGCGCAAGCCUGAUCCAGCCAUACCGCGUGGGUGAAGAAGGCCUUCGGGUUGUAAAGCCCUUUUGUUGGGAAAGAAAUCUUUCAGGCUAAUACCCUGGGAGGAUGACGGUACCCAAAGAAUAAGCACCGGCUAACUUCGUG